rnacentral:rRNA from 1 species
UACGAAGGGGGCUAGCGUUGUUCGGAAUUACUGGGCGUAAAGCGCACGUAGGCGGACUAUUAAGUCAGGGGUGAAAUCCCGGGGCUCAACCCCGGAACUGCCUUUGAUACUGGUAGUCUCGAGUCCGGAAGAAGUGAGUGGAAUUCCGAGUGUAGAGGUGAAAUUCGUAGAUAUUCGGAGGAACACCAGUGGCGAAGGCGGCUCACUGGUCCGGUACUGACGCUGAGGUGCGAAAGCGUGGGGAGCAAACAGG